rnacentral:rRNA from 1 species
AUACGUAGGUGGCGAGCGUUGUCCGGAAUUACUGGGCGUAAAGGAUGCGUAGGUGGAUAUUUAAGUGGGAUGUGAGAUCCCCGGGCUCAACCCGGGAACUGCAUUCCAAACUGGGUAUCUAGAGUGCAGGAGAGGAAAGCGGAAUUCCUAGUGUAGCGGUGAAAUGCGUAGAUAUUAGGAGAAACACCAGUGGCGAAGGCGGCUUUCUGAGAUGUAACUGACACUGAGGAAUGAAAGCGUGGGUAGCAAACAGGAUUAGAUACCCUGGUAGUCCACGCCGUAAACGAUGGGUACUAGGUGUAGGAGGUAUCGACCCCUUCUGUGCCGUCGUUAACACAAUAAGUACCCCGCCUGGGGAGUACGGUCGCAAGACUAAAACUCAAAUGAAUUGACGGGG